UGCAAUUAAAGGUCAACUUUGUCCUACCCACCUCUCGCACCAAUUGGGCUGUGCCCAUUCCAUGUGGUAAUCCCUGGUGGUCUUGGCGUUGAUCAUGAUGGCCAAAACAUUCUAAAAAUAGUAGGCUCAACUGGGUUACAAUAGAGAAACAAUAUUAAAAAGAAAAAAUGACAUGAAAAUCGAUGGUGCAAAAGCCAGAUCAGAAACAUGAUGAGAAGAAUCGUAAAUUCACAAGCUAAUUAAUCACCUCUACGUCCGUACCUACGCAUUCAUCAUACAUGCAUAAUCACCUGUAUCUACACAUCCAUCACGCAUGCCUAAUCACCUGAACGGCAAGCAGUAGCCACAAAUUCAUCACACAUACCUAAUCACCAGGAGCUACAACUCCAUCUGUGCAUACAUGCUUUGAAAAAUCUCAGCCUAAGAAGAACCAUAGAUCUCGUCGCAAAAAUGAAAAAAAAAGAACAACCAUAGAUCGUAUCAAGAUAGAAGGGAAACCAACGGGUGGAUGUAGAAAAUCUAGAGCACAUCACGCCUCAAAUUACACAUGCAUGCUAACGCAAUUGACCGCUCCUUCUGCUAAAAACUGCAUUGAACCGCUCCCCACCGCGUGCCCCUCCAUGUGACUUGCUUUCCAGAUUAGUUACCUCCCCGCCACUGCUCAUGCCUGCCGCCCAUGUCCGACGAGCUUGCAGGUGGAAGACCCAACCCUCACACACCUGAUAUAUGACGAGGGGUAGAGGAGGAGCAGCAUCCUGGGGAGCAGCCAAUCUAUAAAGCCACAAUGGGAGCGCAGGGAAUUCGCUGCUGACCAAUGCCAUAUCUGCCAGCAACAUCCGUUCACAUGGUUCACACGAGCUCAGAUCCGGCAACGACUAUGAUAGCAUCGUACAGGGUGGCGCGCGUGCGAGUAGCAAUUUACCUGACGCCGCCAUCCCGUUUCUCACCGACGAACUUGUCGGCAGCGGCGGAUAGCUUGAGGUGACUCUCGUCGGGAACCGUUCUUCUCAUCCCAAUGAUUUUCUCCACACAUCGUCUUUGUGAAGCCUCCUUCUCUUUCUCGUAGGAGCCAAAAGUGCAGAAGUGCGUUGGCUGGCGACGAGCGGCGCAACCAAGGGAAACUCGUGAGGGAGGGAGCAAAGGAGAUCUCAAGUCUCUACUCGCGAUCUUGGUGGUGUGGAGCCGCAUCGCAACGAACUCUCACACGAUUCGUUGUCCAUUGGAUCAUGGUGUUUUCACGCUUGAUUGAUUGAUCGUGUACGAAACGUUUUUACUACGGGUUAAUUCCCUUAAUUAUUAAAGAGUUUUCUAUAAAAUUAAUGACGGACUAAGAAUACCUAUUUCUUUUA
rnacentral:lncRNA from 1 species